GGUGCUCUAGCCCUCGAAGGGAUCUCCCCGGCUGCGCGCUGCAGGUGGAAAGCUGCGCACUGAGCAGCUCCGAGGACCGCUCAGCACCCCCAGGGAAUAAAUAAGUGGGGGGAACAGACUGCGCACAGGCUGAGAGAACCUCAUUCUCCGGGUUCCAACUGCAGAGUGCUUUCCAGAGGGUCGGGAGAAAGUCCCGUGGGAACAAAGACGGGGUCCCCGUGGGGUGCGCUGUCACCGAAACCGGCGGAGCCGCUUUCUCAAGUUUGUGGCUGCUCGGUUGCCGGGCGGGCGAAGGAGGGGUGCUCGCGCUCGCCCCUCGCUGAGCAACCUGAGCGCCCCGGCGGGAGCCGCUCCAACGCCGCCGCCCUGCCCUGGCCCCUCCCGGCCGCGGUCCCCUCUGUGCGCUCACGGACUCGACCCCUGCCACUGCCGGAAAAGGAAGAGUGAAAUCAAAGGAAUUUACACUUCCAAAGAAUUUUUUAGGAACUUUGGAUGCAAAGAAAAAGAGCAGCUUCAUAUGGUACAAUCUCCCACCAUGCUUGGGAUGAGAAGGGAUGUCAAAACCCUGCAAUAGAACACAGCUACUCCAGAAAGCAAGGGAUCAUUGACUACUCAUUGAAGCUACAUCUCAACACGUGAUGAUUGCAUUUGUUUCAAGAAGAUUACUGGAAUUUUGUCCAGAAUGGUUUCAGUGCCAGUCCAACAUAAUGGAAAGGUAAGUUUGGGACUAUGGCAACCCACAAUAAUUAUAGAGACUCA